GUGAGGAAUAUUGGUCAAUGGGCGGGAGCCUGAACCAGCCAAGUCGCGUGAAGGAAGAAGGAUCUAUGGUUCGUAAACUUCUUUUGCAGGGGAAUAAAGUGCAGGACGUGUCCUGUUUUGUAUGUACCCUGAGAAUAAGGAUCGGCUAACUCCGUGCCAGCAGCCGCGGUAAUACGGAGGAUCCGAGCGUUAUCCGGAUUUAUUGGGUUUAAAGGGUGCGUAGGUGGUUUGAUAAGUCAGCGGUGAAAGUUUGCAGCUUAACUGUAAAAAUGCCGUUGAAACUGUCGGACUUGAGUGUAAAUGAGGUAGGCGGAAUGCGUGGUGUAGCGGUGAAAUGCAUAGAUAUCACGCAGAACUCCGAUUGCGAAGGCAGCUUACUAAGGUCUGAUUGACGCUGAGGCACGAAAGCGUGGGGAUCGAACAGGAUUAGAAACCCCAGUAGUCC
rnacentral:rRNA from 1 species